GCCUAGGUGGGCCAGUGGUCUACGCCGUUCGACUUAAGAUCGAAUUCCUGUAAGGGAGCAUGGGUUCGAAUCCCAUCCUAGGCA